rnacentral:rRNA from 1 species
GACGAACGCUGGCGGCGUGCUUAACACAUGCAAGUCGAACGGAAAGGCCCUGCUUGCAGGGUGCUCGAGUGGCGAACGGGUGAGUAACACGUGGGUGAUCUGCCCCUUACUUUGGGAUAAGCCUGGGAAACUGGGUCUAAUACUGGAUAGGACCAUGCUGUAGGUGGUGUGGUGGAAAGAUUAGUUUCGGUAAGGGAUGAGCUCGCGGCCUAUCAGCUUGUUGGUGGGGUAAUGGCCUACCAAGGCGUCGACGGGUAGCCGGCCUGAGAGGGUGGACGGCCACAUUGGGACUGGGAUACGGACCAGACUCCUACGGGAGGCAGCAGUGGGGAAUAUUGCACAAUGGGCGCAAGCCUGAUGCAGCGACGCCGCGUGGGGGAUGACGGCCUUCGGGUUGUAAACUCCUUUCAGCCAUGACGAAGCCCUUGUGGUGACGGUAGUGGUAGAAGAAGCACCGGCUAACUACGUG